UUUUUUCUCACGGAGUUAUCUGUAUAUCACAUAGCUAAUGCAUAAUAACGUUGGGAAAUAAUUCAAAUCUACGCUUAUAAAUGUACCCUGCCCUAUGGGCAUUCAAAACACUUCAGUUGUCACCUUCAACACAAUAUUCCAUAGAAAUACAAUCAUUUUCAGUAUUUACUAACCUAACGCAAAUGAAAUAUCUAACCUUGUUCAAAUCAAAUGUCUGUCACCGUUCACCUACUAUCUAACUUUGUUCAAAUUAAAGGCCUGCCACCACUCACCUCUUCUGCAGCAUUUUCUUAUAACAUUCAUAUUUUCUUUAGAAAUAUCCCUUUCAAUGCCAUAAUCAAUGAAUUUAAAAAUAGCCCCUAUAUACACCUCAACUUAGAGUAUAGCUCUGUUCAUAUGCUAUGGCGCUCUUCGAUAUCCAUCAAACUUCCACGGUUCCAAAAUUUUGUUUUAUGAGCAAUAACACUGAAAUUUUCAUUUGUGAACACUUACGAAAGAAAUUCAAAAAUAUUCUAAAGUAUAUUUUGUCAUGUCAUAAAUUAUACCUCGAAUUUAAUCUAGAACCCAACUUUAACGAAAAAAAAAUAACCUUUUGUUUAGGCAAAACAUGCCAGUCAUGUUUUAAUUUUGAUGCAAAAACGGAACUUUUAGAUAUAACUUUUCAAAAUUCUAUGAUAACAAUUAAUCACCGAGCCAUUAAAGCCAUUAUUUCGGACAUCAUAAGUUGGGAGUGUGAAUCGCAACAAGAGGAGCUCCACAGUUAUACAAGCCUCUACUAAAGGUUAGUAAUUAUCUGUAAUAUUCUAAUUAUAUGUAAUCACUUUAUUUUUCUGUUACCUAUUUUUGUCUUUUAAUUCUUUCAUUUACUACCAAACACAUUUUGAAACAGGUUUUAAUUAAAUGUAACAUUUUCUCUAAUAAUUCAACUUCUCCUUAGGUAAGCCUUUUAUAAUAUUGAAUCAUUGUUUUAAAUAACUUAAAAAUAUAUAUCUUGUCUUACUCUUUUACAUGCGCAUAAAACAUAUCAGGCCUUUGAACCAUUGCUAAUAUUUUAUAUACUUACAUAUACACAGUUAGGGCGUAUCUUUUCAUAUAGUGCUUGUCCAAUCGCAAAUCGCGUUCAUCUUUCACUCUGAUGAAUUUAUUCUAACAGCUUUAUAAGAGAACAUGUUCACCUCUCCAACUUCAGCAUUUCGCUAUGAAUGCUUAUCUGAGUUAUUCGCCUAUUACAGAACAUUUUCAAAUUUCUAAAUCCGGAAAAUCCAUUACAUUUUGUUCACAUUUUAAAGCUUCCGUACUGAAAGAAACUUUUAAUCAUUUAGUUAGCACUAUUACAAAUUUGGAAGACAGAACUUUGCCUUAUUCUCUAAAUUCAUUUUUUUUGUUUUGCGAGCGUCUUCCUUGCGAAAUUAAUUUUAAUUAUUCCUCUAAAACAUCAUCUGUAACAAUAACUCAGAUACAUUCCGAUAAAGCAGUAGUAUUAUCGAAAUUGGAAGUUAUUCAGAUCUUGAUGAUGUUAAGCACAUACUGCGUUAAGCGGCAUUAGUGGUGAGUAUAAUUAGAAGUAAUCUAUCCAUCUAUAAAGUCAUCUUUAAAUUCUUUAUAAUUUUGUAAAUAUCUUAUGUAUUCAUCACAAUAUAUGUCACUAUCUCUCGUAACAUGUUUAUAAUAUUUGUCUCACUAUAUUCGUCUAAGCACUCAGGUCAGUGUGUCAUCAUCUUAUCACACACAAUGCUGACCGCGUGUCACACUUGUCAAUUAUCACCUCAUUUACUAUUUCCUAAUAUUGUUUUGGCAGAAAUUGCCCCGACAACAUGGUGAAAAGUAGCAAGUCUCUUUGACCUAAAUUAUAAACUUAUUGUUAUCAUAAUAUUGUCAAAUUCUUCCCAUUAUAUCAUAUUCGUUCCCUUUAACCUUUACACUCUCGUCCGCACGUGCAAUCCAUGUGACAAUCAUUUUCAUUGGUUAACAGAUUAAUUUGGCACAAAUACAAUACGCGACGGUUAAAAGGUAUGAUCAUGCGUCAAAUUGCGCUCGCCAUGAGAGGGCUUCUUGUCAUUUCCAUUUUAUGUUGUGUUGUUUCUGGCAAUGAAUUUGCCGAGAAAUGUAUAAGCUCUGGAGUUACCCUCGCUUGUAAAUCUGCAGGCGGGGGUACAUUGACCCAUCUAUCAGGCUCUCCCUACCCCACAGUCCGAGUCAUUCAUCUAAUCGGCACCGCUGAUCACCUAUUGAUCAGUGCCUCUCUGUUCCCAAGGCUUUUGCUAAUACGUGGAGGAUUAGCUACAUGUCGUAGUGUUCUAACCCCACCCAAGCAUGGAAUCACUGUCAACGGGGAACGUUGCAACGUGAACGUGUCUCAACCUUCUGUGCCCACACCUAUUCUCCUCUCAACCUCAUUACAAUCAAACUCAUAUUACCUCCACCUACCCUACACAAAGCUUACACCUAGUCUAACUAU